rnacentral:tmRNA from 1 species
GGGGCUGACCCGGUUUCGACGUGGGUUACAAAACAGAUCAGUGCAUACCGAGGCUUCUAGGUACCUCGUUAAUAAACUAGAAAAACAGUAAUCGCAAAUGACGAUAACUACGCUUUAGCUGCUUAAUUCCAGCUAAACGCUGUCCUGAUGGGUCACUCGCUCAGGUUACAGCGUCAUAAAGAGAGACUCGGAAAUUAUUGGGCUACUUAGUAAUUUCUUAAACUUAAGGUAACUCGCUUUUA